rfam:Pan troglodytes isolate Yerkes chimp pedigree #C0471 (Clint) chromosome 17, whole genome shotgun sequence.
CAAGUACUAGUCUCAGCAGAUUGAGGAGAGCACCACAGUGGUCACCAUGCAGUCUGCCGAGGUUGGAGCUGC